ACGUAGGGUGCGAGCGUUGUCCGGAAUUAUUGGGCGUAAAGAGCUCGUAGGCGGUUCGUCGCGUCGAAUGUGAAAACCCGGGGCUCAACUCCGGGCCUGCAUUCGAUACGGGCGGACUAGAGUUCGGUAGGGGAGACUGGAAUUCCUGGUGUAGCGGUGAAAUGCGCAGAUAUCAGGAGGAACACCGGUGGCGAAGGCGGGUCUCUGGGCCGAUACUGACGCUGAGGAGCGAAAGCGUGGGGAGCGAACAGGAUUAGAUACCCUGGUAGUCCACGCCGUAAACGGUGGGCGCUAGGUGUGGGGGACUUCCACGUCUUCUGUGCCGCAGCUAACGCAUUAAGCGCCCCGCCUGGGGAGUACGGCCGGAAGGCUA
rnacentral:rRNA from 1 species